rnacentral:rRNA from 1 species
CCCUUAGAUGUCCUGGGCCGCACGCGUGCUACACUGAUGCAUACAGCGAGUACUCCCAGCUCCGAGAGGCUGCUGGUAAUCAGCAAUAUGCAUCGUGAUGGGGAUAGAUCUUUGGAAUUAUAGAUCUUGAACGAGGAAUUCCUAGUAAUCGCAGGUCAUCACCCUGCGUUGACUAAGUCCCUGCCCUUUGUACACACCGCCCGUCGCUCCUACCGAUUUCAAGUGAUCCGGUGAAUCAUUCGGACCGCGGCCCCUAGGCAUGCGGAAAGUCUAGUAAACCAUAUCACUUAGAGGAAGGAGAAGUCGUAACA